rnacentral:rRNA from 1 species
AGUCAUAUGCUUGUCUCAAAGAUUAAGCCAUGCAUGUCUCAGUAUAAGCUUCUAUACGGCGAAACUGCGAAUGGCUCAUUAAAACAGUUAUAGUUUAUUUGGUGGUCAGCAAUUACAUGGAUAACCGUGGUAAUUCUAGAGCUAAUACAUGCGCCCAAACCCGACUUCGUGGAAGGGUUGUGUUUAUUAGAUACAGAACCAACCCAGGCUCCGCCUGGCCUUGAGGUGAUUCAUAAUAACCGAACGAAUCGCAUGGCUAUGCCGGCGAUAGACCAUUCAAGUUUCUGACCUAUCAGCUAUCGUCGGUAGGGUAUUGGCCUACCGUGGCAAUGACGGGUGACGGAGAAUUAGGGUUCGAUUCCGGAGAGGGAGCCUGAGAAACGGCUACCACAUCUAAGGAAGGCAGCAGGCUCGAAAAUUACCCAAUCCCGACUCGGGGAGGUAGUGACAAGAAAUAACGAUACGGGGUCUUAAUAGGUCUCGCAAUUGGAAUGAGUACAAUUUAAAUCCUUUAACGAGGAUCAAU